GGCGCCGCCCUCUCAGUCAGGGCCCGGGCCCCCGCCCCCGCUGCCCAGCGGAAAUCGGCCACCAAGGGGGUGUAGGGGCGGUGGCGCUCAAACUGGUUGUUUGGUUUCCGAUAGGAAACUUCCCGAGUUUCUUAAAGAGGGUGGGGUACGUGUGGGCCAAAGGGACUCUGAUUGGACCUGGGCCCUGACGGACGGGAGCGUUGGGGGCUGCUCGCCGGGGUCCCCGCAGCCCGCGGCGGCGGCCGGAUGACGGCCUGGGCCCUCACGGUGUUUCCUGCUUAUUUUUAAAAUGGGACGGAGAAAAGCGGUCAGCAAUAUCGUUUUGACGUCAUGUUUACUCUACACGGAAUAUCUGGGGGUGGGGACAUUAAAUUUCCAAAAGAAAAGCAAUCAGGGACCAUCUUAAGCUUUCUAGGCAGAGGACAUUCGGCCAAAUCUUUUCCUUUCGAAGACCCUGCUGGCGACGGCA